UACGGAGGGUGCAAGCGUUAUCCGGAUUCACUGGGUUUAAAGGGUGCGUAGGUGGGCAAGUAAGUCAGUGGUGAAAUCUCCGGGCUUAACCCGGAAACUGCCAUUGAUACUAUUUGUCUUGAAUACUGUGGAGGUCAGCGGAAUAUGUCAUGUAGCGGUGAAAUGCUUAGAUAUGACAUAGAACACCAAUUGCGAAGGCAGCUGGCUACACAAAUAUUGACACUGAUGCACGAAAGCGUGGGGAUCGAACAGG
rnacentral:rRNA from 1 species